GACUCGGUAGCUUAGUUGGUAAAGCACUUGUCUAGCGAAUAAGGGUCGUGAGUUCGAAUCUCACCUGAACUG
rnacentral:tRNA from 1 species